GUGUUACUUAGCUCAGUUGGUAGAGCAUGAGGCUCUUAAUCUCAGGGUUGUGGGUUCAAGCCCCACGUAGGGCA